rnacentral:misc_RNA from 1 species
AAACAAUGUAAUGCAAAAGUGGGAAUUUGGACUUUCCAUCACUUCAAUCAGGUAAGUUUAGGGUUCUGAUCUAGGAAGAUCCAUAUAUAAUCUUAGUAAUGGCAAUUUAGAGAGCACUCAUGUUUUCUUAAGGUAUUAUACUUUCAAUUGCCGGCAUUUUCAUAAUCAUUUUAAUUUCCUGAUAAAUGUGGUUAAGUAUAAAACUUCCAGUUCACAUCACAUCAGCAGCAGCUAAAAGUUUCUUAGCUCCUAGAUAUAUAAAAUUCAAAUGUACAGUUUUUUGU